rnacentral:rRNA from 1 species
AGUUCAUGGGCGCACUCUGAUGCAGCGACGCCGCGUGAGGGAGAAGGCCUUCGGGUUGUAAACCUCUGUCUUCGGGGACGAACGAAUUGGGGUUCCCGAGGGGGAAGCCGGGGCUUACCACGUGCCCACCGCCGCGGUUAUUAUG